rnacentral:misc_RNA from 1 species
GAUGAAGAACGUAGCGAAAUGCGAUAAGUAGUGUGAAUUGCAGAAUUCAGUGAAUCAUCGAAUCUUUGAACGCACAUUGCGCCCCUUGGUAUCCCGAGGGGCAUGCCUGUUCGAGCGUCAUUUCACCACUCAAGCCUGGCUUGGUGUUGGGCGACGUCCUCUUUGGGGACGCGCCUCGAAACGCUCGGCGGCGUGGCACCGGCUUAAAGCGUAGCAGAAUCUUUCGCUUUGGAAGUCGGGGCCCCGUCUGCCGGAAGACCUGCUCGCAAGGUUGACCUCGGAUCAGGCAGGGAUACCCGCUGAACUUAAGCAUAUCAAUAAGCGGAGGA